UACGUCCCUGCCCUUUGUACACACCGCCCGUCGCUACUACCGAUUGAAUGGCUCAGUGAGGCCUCCGGACUGGCUCGAAGAGGUUGGCAACGACCACUUCGAGCCGGAAAGUUCGUCAAACUCGGUCAUUUAGAGGAAGUAAAAGUCGUAACAAGGUUUCCGUAGGUGAACCUGCGGAAGGAUCAUUACCUAGAGUUGUAGGCUUUGCCUACCAUCUCUUACCCAUGUCUUUUGAGUACCUUCGUUUCCUUGGCGGGUCCGCCCGCCGAUUGGACAAACUUAAACCCUUUGUAAUUGAAAUCAGCGUCUGAAAAAACAUAAUAGUUACAACUUUCAACAACGGAUCUCUUGGUUCUGGCAUCGAUGAAGAACGCAGCGAAAUGCGAUAAGUAGUGUGAAUUGCAGAAUUCAGUGAAUCAUCGAAUCUUUGAACGCACAUUGCGCCCCUUGGUAUUCCAUGGGGCAUGCCUGUUCGAGCGUCAUUUGUACCUUCAAGCUCUGCUUGGUGUUGGGUGUUUGUCUCGCCUUUGCGUGUAGACUCGCCUUAAAACAAUUGGCAGCCGGCGUAUUGAUUUCGGAGCGCAGUACAUCUCGCGCUUUGCACUCAUAACGACGACGUCCAAAAAGUACUUUUUACACUCUUGACCUCGGAUCAGGUAGGGAUACCCGCUGAACUUAAGCAUAUCAAUAAGCGGAGGAAAAGAAACCAACAGGGAUUGCCCUAGUAACGGCGAGUGAAGCGGCAACAGCUCAAAUUUGAAAUCUGGCGUCUUUGGCGUCCGAGUUGUAAUUUGCAGAGGGCGCUUUGGCAUUGGCAGCGGUCCAAGUUCCUUGGAACAGGACGUCA
rnacentral:rRNA from 1 species